rnacentral:lncRNA from 1 species
CUUGCAAUUCUUGGUUAGCAGCGCGCUGCGACACACAUGGCUCUGCCUCCAUGUCGUUCUACUUACUUUCGUGCUCUCUACUUUCAUUCCACAAACCAACAUUUUUUCCGUAUUAAUCAUGCCAUGCUGAAAGGUAAAUGUUAUUGCUCGGGCAGAAAGGAACAUUAUUGUCAUUCUUGCUGUUGUUUGGGCACUAUAGUUCAUGCUAUAUUCUGAACUCCUUUUUUGUUCUACUCAUCUUUUGUUUUCUGUUGUGUUGCCUCAUUUAUCUACAAUAUGAAUUCUUAGACUUUGCGUUUCUUAAACAUGGUCAGGACAAUCGAUAAAAUUUAGAUGCUAAGUUUCCUUUUUCUGCAGAUUUUCUCUACAAAGCCAGCAUUGGAUGCUGGCAAAAUUGAAGAAAAACUCUCCAGGAAAUUGAAUAAAUAGUUAUUGUUGAUUUUAGUUGCUACAAGGAAAAGACUGCUGCAAAUUUUAGAACCAGUUUAUCAAUUUUGGCAGCUGUACCAGGUAUUGCUUAUUUUUAAUUGUGUAGCAUUUAGUCAGAUUUGGCUUAUUUGAUAAUGAGCAAUGAAUGAUUGUUGUAAUCGAAUAUAGCAAAUAAAUUUGCGGCGUAGCUUCAAAACUGUUAAUGUGAAGUUGUCAGGGUCUGAUUUUUAUAAUUUUGAUUCUUUCCUUAAGUUGUCGAUGGAAAACAUUGAAGCAUGUAGUUAUACCUAUUUUGUAAAUCAAAAGCUGUUAGUAACAUUUAGUCUCAAGAUAUUAUAGUCAAAAAUGCUAACUACUUAUGCCUUCAUGGUUUUUUGAUAUUCCCUCUGAUCCAUAUUAGUUGUCGCCGAAAUGAAUGUUUGUAGACGUAUUUCUAGAUACAUAAGUUUGAAGCCUGUAGUUAUACCUAUUUUGAAAAUCAAAAGCGGUUAGUAACAUUUAGACUCAAGAUAUUACGGUAAAAAAUGCUAACUAAUGACCCUUCAUGGUUUUUUGAUAUUCCCUCUGAUCCAUAUUAGUUGUCGCUGGAAUGAAUGUGUAGACGUAUUUCUAGAUACAUAAGUUCGAGGGGCAACUAAUUUGGAUCAGAGGGGGUACUAAGAGUAACAGUGACUAGCUGUUCAGUUACUCUGCACUUUAUUGUGAGUUUUACCUGAUUUGGUUCGUUUAUCAAGGCGAAUUAAACUGGUAUUAGGAGGGUAGUGCUAUAAUUACCGCAGUAGUACCGGUGCAAAGAAAUGCUUUUCUGAAAUUUAAAACACAAUUGCUCUAAAAUUUAUGGCAUACUUUGUAUUUCUGCCUCAACCUUCUCUAUACGUACAUCAAAUAUAUCUUUGCAAUUAGAUUUUUUCCUUGCAAAUCUUAAUGUAAUUCAAAAAAGGAUUAUGAAGUAUGCCAUGAUUUCUUUAUAUAAUUUGUUUGAUUAUUUCUAAUUCUAUGGCUUCCGUAAGUACCAUUUGUGUUCAGGUUUGGUAUUAGGAGGGUAAUCUCCUCGUCAUGCAAUUUUUAUUUCUUGGAAUGCAUGAUAAAGGAGUUACUUUAUUCUGAGCGUUUGUUUCUAGAUAAUAGAUUGGCUAACCAGUUGCCUAACAUUGUUGUAAAUGCGGUAACAUCAUGUUUCUUUCAUAGUACUUCCUUUGAAAGCUUUAUUCCACAAAAUUGCUUAGCAUAUUUGUAUUUUCUGUUUGGUCCCUGCUAUAAGUCAUAUGCAUCUGCCAACGCGGUGAGCCAAUUGAUAUUUUCAUGAUGGGAUAAUGCAUAUGCACCAGAAGUUUGAUGCGGACACACGUCUGGUAUGUUUUUUCUUUCUUUUUGCACAAUAUAGCGUCCUUCUGUAUUUCAUAGACUUUUGGAUUUGGAUAAAUAGUUCAAAUGCAUUUCCAGUAACACGCUUGUGAACAUUGCCACCUGCUGUAAUGUAACAUCAGAACACUUACACCAUUGCUUUGUUGUAGAUUGAGGGUCUGGUCCUUGACAAUGGUUAGCAGCACCCUGACAUUAAGCACAUGCAGAGAAAUGUAACAUCCUGAUAGCAAAUGUAUAAAGCGGGGCGAAAGCCUUUUUUUUGGUAAAUGUAACAUCCUGACAUGUAAUGUAUCACUGGUGUAUGAGAAAAGGUGUGUAGUUUUGCAUAAAUUACUUAUUCAACUUGCAAAUUCCCUUGAACUUCGAAGGAUUUGAUGUGGUGGCCAAAGUUAUACAGCCUCAUGAUACAUAUCAUCCACUCUUUGAAAUUCACAUGCAUGUUUCGCUCAAUUUAUUC